GAUCUUGAAAGUUAUUUUUCUUCUUUAUUAUUAUCAUCUAAGUGUUUAUACAAACUUGUAUAUAAUUGCUGAAAAUAACAUAUGAAAUGAAAUAUCAAAUAAAAUGCAACAGCUACAAGGAAAACGAAUUUGGCGGGAGAUCCGAAAAGGUUUUGGCGGCAAUACUGGUUCCGCGGGGAGGCCUUUGUUUAGAUAUGGCGGGAAUUGAGAUUGUAUUUGGCGGGAGAUUCGAAAUAAUUUUGGCGGGAGAUUUGAAAAGGUUUUGGCGGCAGUGUUUGUUGCGCAGGAGACCUUUGUUUAGAUUUGGCGGGAACCAAGUUCAAAUUUGCAUAUGCUUAUAAAUGUCUCGUUUUUGGCUAUUCAAUUAGUUGGCACAAAGGUGCUGAAGGUGAGAUGUUGCUCCAGAACACUCACGUCUUCAUGGUUUUGGCCUACAUCUGAAUGUAAAACCUAGUUAUUGAGUCAACACCAUUCGUGAAUUGAGAACAGUCCACGGGUAAUGGAGUGAUCACAGAAAGUCGACAACUGAUUAAGUUAAAGAAAACUCUUCCCAAACACCGUAAAGCAUUGGCGCUGAAAGGCAAGACAGGUCUUUCAUGGUGCCUCUCAUUGUUGCAGAUCAAAGAGAAGCUCAAUUAAAGUUUUUUGACAACAUAAUGAUGGCCUGGAAUUGCAAGGGCAAGACUUCUGCAAGAUGACCAUGUAAAAUGUGGUGAAUUUCUACAAGCUAGAGGUCAGCUAGGUAAAAUGCUGGUUGUUUGAAAAACAAUUAUCUGUUGUUUGAGAAGUACACCUGCAAAGCAUUCAAAGAGUAAAAUGCUGGUUAUCCAGACACAAUUAGCACUGGUUGUGAAGUACACCUGGAAAGAAUACUAAGGUUAGAAUGCCAGACAUCCAUAAACAAUUACCUGCUGCUUGUGACUUCAAAAGAUUCUAAGGGGAAAAUGAUGGUUAUCUGAAAACAAUUGUCAGAUGUUUGCAAAGUACACCUGCAAAGCAUGCAAAGGUAGAACGCUGAUGGGUAUCCACAAACAAAUGCCUGCUGUUUGUGAAUAUAACCUGCAAAAGAUUCAAAGAAGACGCUGGAAAGAAGAACAGAUGCGACGAAGAAGAGCAGAUGCGAUGAAGAAGAAACCCAGUUGAUCAAACGAAGAUGAUGUCAAUUGCUCUCUGCUUAUUUUCAUUAAAAAUUAACAGCCUACUCUAGGCUGUAGUCAUUUAGUGACUAGAAUUCAUCAUCAUCAUCAUCUUCAAGUGUGGUGGGAGUAUAGAAAUCCAAUAGAUCCGUGUUCAAAAAUAAGUCCAGAGCGGCAGUACUUAAGGCUUUAAGGUUUGAAAGAAAGAGCACCUUGAAGAAGCAGCUUUUCAAGAAAGAUCACAUCGCAGAAACCUUGAAACUACCAGUUGUUGAAAGCCAGCUACCAAACCAGCAAAAACCUGCAAUUUUGAGACUCUGAAACGUAGAAACUAGAUGCGAGAGGACAAGAAAAGGCGUUUUCCCAGGUGCUCCAGAACGAUUUUCAUUUCUUGUAUGCAAUUGGCCUAGCGAAUGCAUUUAUGCUGGACAUUAUUGGACAUUGCAAGAGAACAAAAAGACGUUUUCCAGAACAAUUUAUAUUGAUAAUAUUCUUGUAGUGAAUAUUCUUGUAGUGAAUAUCGAUUUAUUUCUGCUGGACAUUAUUCUUCUAUAGUGUUAUUGCAACAACAAAAUGGCAGAGAUUUAAAAGUCAAGGCGUUACUUAGAAUUUUGGCCUAGCAUCCCAAAUGUAUUAUUUUGCUGGAAAUAACCCCAUAAUUUUUUUUUCUGCAAAGUGACUACGAAUUUGCAAAGCAGGAGAACCAGUUGUUUCUUGCCAGCUAAAACCAGUUGUUCCUUACCAGUUCCUUGCCAAAAAGACAAACAUCUCUCUACCAGUUAUAUAUUUCAUUUCCUUGAUUAACUAGUUUAGAGUCGCAAAUUUAGAGUAUUAAACAUUAGAGUCUUAUACUUUUUGCGUCUCCCUCUCGUACUUCGACAUGGGACUUAAAACAUAAGACUAACAAGACGAUAAGAUGACACUAACAACACGACUCUAAUAAGAUGACACUUAACACUAACAACAACAUGACUCGUACUUCAACAUGAGACAUAAGAUGACACUGACAACAUGACUCUAACACUAACGACAUGACUCUAACAAUAACAACAUGACACUUACAACAUGACACUAACGAUAUGACUCUAACAUUAACAACAUGACACUAACACUCAUUACAUGACACUAACGACAUGACUCUAACAUUAACAACAUGACACUUACAACAUGACACUAACGAUAU